ACUAGGCUCGAGUACAGCUCCCUGGUAGUGUGUCUUCCCUUGGUUUCUGGCUAGAAUUUCUUUCCCUUUGAGGGGAACUACAUCGCCCUGAUCCUCGUUCCAGACGAGGUAUGUAGGCAGGAGGUCGUGCGAGACCUCUCCGGGCACUUUUUUUUUCCUUUUUGUGUGUGUUUGCAUGUUAUCUUCUUGUGUAUGUUUGGUUCGGAUGCUGACGUAAGUCCAGUGAUUGGCGGUCGGGCUCCACGUUUGCCGUUUUGUGCGUGUUUUGGUUCAGAUGCUG
rnacentral:lncRNA from 1 species